rnacentral:siRNA from 1 species
UGCGCUGAAUCUUUGUACG